GACGAACGCUGGCGGCGUGCUUAACACAUGCAAGUCGAACGGAAAGGCCCUGCUUGCAGGGUACUCGAGUGGCGAACGGGUGAGUAACACGUGGGUGAUCUGCCAUGCACUUCGGGAUAAGCCUGGGAAACUGGGUCUAAUACCGGAUAGGAGCCAUUUUUAGUGUGAUGGUUGGAAAGUUUUUUCGGUGUAGGAUGAGCUCGCGGCCUAUCAGCUUGUUGGUGGGGUAAUGGCCUACCAAGGCGGCGACGGGUAGCCGGCCUGAGAGGGUGGACGGCCACAUUGGGACUGAGAUACGGCCCAGACUCCUACGGGAGGCAGCAGUGGGGAAUAUUGCACAAUGGGCGCAAGCCUGAUGCAGCGACGCCGCGUGGGGGAUGACGGCCUUCGGGUUGUAAACUCCGUUCGCUAGGGACGAAGCUUUUUGUGACGGUACCUAGAUAAGAAGCACCGGCUAACUACGUG
rnacentral:rRNA from 1 species